CCCCUCUCAGGGUUGCACCAGAAGACUUUCCAGUAGUCUACCAGUCUCGGCUAUGGGAGGGAGAGUCAAGCAGAGGCAUUUCCAUUCCAUUCCUAGCUUGGCCAGUGGCUAGCGAGUGGAAGGCAAUCUGCUACAAGU
rnacentral:snoRNA from 2 species